AACCCCGGCGAGGGGAGUGAAAAAGAACCUGAAACCGUGUACGUACAAGCAGUGGGAGCCCCACCACCAAAGCAUUCUCUGGUGUUGAAGGCCCUGCAAAGCAGCAUCGCGGUGGCGGAGCGUCGUUUGCGACGCCCAACACAAAAAACAAGCGGUGAGUGCUUUGGGGUGGGGUGACUGCGUACCUUUUGUAUAAUGGGUCAGCGACUUAUAUUCUGUAGCAAGGUUAACCGAAUAGGGGAGCCGUAGGGAAACCGAGUCUUAACUGGGCGUUAAGUUGCAGGGUAUAGACCCGAAACCCGGUGAUCUAGCCAUGGGCAGGUUGAAGGUUGGGUAACACUAACUGGAGGACCGAACCGACUAAUGUUGAAAAAUUAGCGGAUGACCUGUGGCUGGGGGUGAAAGGCCAAUCAAACCGGGAGAUAGCUGGUUCUCCCCGAAAGCUAUUUAGGUAGCGCCUCGUGAAUUCAUCUCCGGGGGUAGAGCACUGUUUCGGCUAGGGGGCCAUCCCGGCUUACCAACCCGAUGCAAACUGCGAAUACCGGAGAAUGUUAUCACGGGAGACACACGGCGGGUGCUAACGUCCGUCGUGAAGAGGGAAACAACCCAGACCGCCAGCUAAGGUCCCAAAGUCAUGGUUAAGUGGGAAACGAUGUGGGAAGGCCCAGACAGCCAGGAUGUUGGCUUAGAAGCAGCCAUCAUUUAAAGAAAGCGUAAUAGCUCACUGGUCGAGUCGGCCUGCGCGGAAGAUGUAACGGGGCUAAACCAUGCACCGAAGCUGCGGCAGCGACACUGUGUGUUGUUGGGUAGGGGAGCGUUCUGUAAGCCUGUGAAGGUGGCCUGUGAGGGUUGCUGGAGGUAUCAGAAGUGCGAAUGCUGACAUAAGUAACGAUAAAGCGGGUGAAAAGCCCGCUCGCCGGAAGACCAAGGGUUCCUGUCCAACGUUAAUCGGGGCAGGGUGAGUCGACCCCUAAGGCGAGGCCGAAAGGCGUAGUCGAUGGGAAACGGGUUAAUAUUCCCGUACUUGGUGUUACUGCGAAGGGGGGACGGAGAAGGCUAUGUUGGCCGGGCGACGGUUGUCCCGGUUUAAGCGUGUAGGUGUGUGUUCCAGGUAAAUCCGGUUCACUUUAACACUGAGGCGUGACGACGAGGCACUACGGUGCUGAAGCAACAAAUGCCCUGCUUCCAGGAAAAGCCUCUAAGCAUCAGGUAACAUCAAAUCGUACCCCAAACCGACACAGGUGGUCAGGUAGAGAAUACCAAGGCGCUUGAGAGAACUCGGGUGAAGGAACUAGGCAAAAUGGUGCCGUAACUUCGGGAGAAGGCACGCUGACACGUAGGUGAAGUGAUUUACUCAUGGAGCUGAAGUCAGUCGAAGAUACCAGCUGGCUGCAACUGUUUAUUAAAAACACAGCACUGUGCAAACACGAAAGUGGACGUAUACGGUGUGACGCCUGCCCGGUGCCGGAAGGUUAAUUGAUGGGGUCAGCGCAAGCGAAGCUCCUGAUCGAAGCCCCGGUAAACGGCGGCCGUAACUAUAACGGUCCUAAGGUAGCGAAAUUCCUUGUCGGGUAAGUUCCGACCUGCACGAAUGGCGUAAUGAUGGCCAGGCUGUCUCCACCCGAGACUCAGUGAAAUUGAACUCGCUGUGAAGAUGCAGUGUACCCGCGGCAAGACGGAAAGACCCCGUGAACCUUUACUAUAGCUUGACACUGAACAUUGAGCCUUGAUGUGUAGGAUAGGUGGGAGGCUUUGAAGUGUGGACGCCAGUCUGC
rnacentral:rRNA from 1 species